rnacentral:rRNA from 1 species
UACGGGGGGAGCAAGCGUUGUUCGGAUUUACUGGGCGUAAAGGGCGCGUAGGCGGCCACCGCAAGUCGACUGUGAAAUCUCCGGGCUUAACCCGGAAAGGUCAGCCGAUACUGCGGGGCUAGAGUGCAGAAGGGGCAACUGGAAUUCUCGGUGUAGCGGUGAAAUGCGUAGAUAUCGAGAGGAACACCUGCGGCGAAGGCGGGUUGCUGGGCUGACACUGACGCUGAUGCGCGAAAGCUAGGGAAGCGAACGGG